rnacentral:rRNA from 1 species
CCUACGGGUGGCAGCAGUGAGGAAUCUUGGUCAAUGGCCGGAAGGCUGAACCAGCCAUGCCGCGUGAAGGUCAGUGCCCUAUGGGCGUUAAACUUCUUUUGUGCGGGAGCAAUAAUGGUCACGUGUGGCCAGACGAGAGUACCGUACGAAUAAGCAUCGGCUAACUCCGUGCCAGCAGCCGCGGUAAUACGGGGGAUGCAAGCGUUAUCCGGAUUUAUUGGGUUUAAAGGGUGCGUAGGCUGUGAGGUAAGUCAGCGGUGAAAUGCCCCCGCUCAACGGGGUGAAGUGCCAUUGAUACUGCCUGGCUGGAAUGCGGAUGCCGUGGGAGGAAUGUGUGGUGUAGCGGUGAAAUGCAUAGAUAUCACACAGAACACCGAUUGCGAAGGCAUCUCACGAAUCCGCGAUUGACGCUGAUGCACGAAAGCGUGGGUAUCAAACAGGAUUAGAUACCCUAGUAGUC